CUGGCGCUGCUGUUCCAAAAUGGGACACCUGCUAAUGAUCAACUCCUCCAGGGGCAUCACUUGGAGGUCUUGUGGUAUUGCCUUCAGCUUGGGGCAAUCAUAAAGGGAUAAAGAGCGCAGGCAUGGCAUUGCUCUUCUUGUUGAUGCAUUGUCAUUACUGCUGCUAAUACUCAAACUAGCAAUAGCAGCAGAGGUUGUUAUUGUAUCCCAAUCUUCCCACUUCAUCAUAAAGCGAAAUGUGAGUUCUUUCAACCUUGGAAAAGCCACAAAUGAUUCUGAACCAUGAAUAUCUGUGGCAGGAUCUACCCCAAGCAAUUCAACACCUACAGAUUUCAAAUUAUUGAAAUGCCCUAUUAGGAGUUUUUCCAGAGAUGGCAGUUUUCCUAAAGGAGGCAACUGUGGACAGUUUACACAACUCAGGAGUCUCAGAUCUUUCAGCUUUGUGAGCAAGGUUAUCCAACUGG
rnacentral:misc_RNA from 1 species